rnacentral:rRNA from 1 species
UACGUAGGGGGCUAGCGUUGUCCGGAAUCAUUGGGCGUAAAGCGCGUGUAGGCGGUUCGGUAAGUCCGCUGUGAAAGUCGGGGGCUCAACCCUCGGAUGCCGGUGGAUACUGUCGAGCUUGAGUACGGAAGAGGCGAGUGGAAUUCCGAGUGUAGAGGUGAAAUUCGUAGAUAUUCGGAAGAACACCAGUGGCGAAGGCGGCUCACUGGACCGUAGUUGACGCUGAGGUGCGAAAGCGUGGGGAGCAAACAGG